rnacentral:rRNA from 1 species
UACGUAGGGUGCAAGCGUUGUCCGGAAUUAUUGGGCGUAAAGAGCUCGUAGGCGGUGUGUCACGUCGAUCGUGAAAACUUGGGGCUUAACCCUGAGCUUGCGGUCGAUACGGGCAUCACUGGAGUUCGGCAGGGGAGACUGGAAUUCCUGGUGUAGCGGUGAAAUGCGCAGAUAUCAGGAGGAACACCGGUGGCGAAGGCGGGUCUCUGGGCCGAUACUGACGCUGAGGAGCGAAAGCAUGGGGAGCGAACAGG